AUUCCCAUUCGUGAGUUCAAGAGGAGAGGAGAGAGAGUGAAUUCAUCUUCUUCACCAAUCUUCAAGAUCCAUAGCCAAAUUUCCUUCUCAACUCUCAAUUUGUUCGGAUUUAAGGUGAAAUUUGGGGAAAAUCAUCCAAGAUCACUUCUAAGGAAUUGUUGACCACUUUGAGAGAAGUAAACAGAAUAAUUUUUUUUUGUUUUCUUUACCCCUCAUUUCUUGUUGGAGCUCAUAUUCACCUUGCUGUUGCCGUGGAUGGGUUUGGCUAGUUAUUUGAUGUUGUCUUUAUCAUAUAUUUUGAAGGUCAGUUUGAAUUUAUAUUCUGUCUCUUUUGGAUAUUCGCGUAUUGUUCUUUGUAAUAUAUGCAGUUAUAGAUUAUAUACAUUUUUUGUCAUGUGCAAGAUAUAUGUCAGAAAUAUUUGUAUAUGUAGAUUCCUAAUGUAAAGAUGUAUUUUAGUAUACAUUAAAUUAAUAAUAACGAUAUGGAAAAGGUUCUUCCUCUAAUUUUUUUUUUCCAAACAUAUUCAGUUGACAUAGGAAAUGAGUUACCAACAACAGAACUUAACUUUUACAACAUAAGAUUUAAUUUUAGACUUACAGGUUGUGAAGCGGCGUAGAAUUACAUUUGUAAUGUGAAGAUGUAUUUUAGUAUACAUUAAAUUAAUAAUAAUGAUAUAACAAAAGGUUCUUUCUCUGUUUUUUCCCCAAACAUAUUCAGUUCAUAAAGAAAAUGAUUUACCAA